UGUCAGAUAUCACCCUUGUAAUUGCAAAGCCCAUUAGUGUCAAGAUCAGAUCAAUAUUUGUCUUGAAAUCCGCAACAGUUGUUCAAGUGCCUAUAACUGCUCAUCAGCAGGUCAUAAAACGAAGCUUCAAGAUUGAAGGAAAAUGUCUAGAAAUUAAGAAAUUUGCGGAGGGAUAUAAUUAACCAAUAAGCAACAAUCCAGAAUGUGAUUUAUCAAUAUGACUACUAAAAUGUGAAAUAAAAUUGAUUUUGACUGAACUGUUUAGGAUACACAACUUUGAUAGUCUGCUUAAAUUUUGUUGAACUUUAUCAGUUAAUUGAAACUAAUUCCCACAAUAUUUAGCUGAAAUCAAUAAUGGAUUAUCUCGGAAUAUCUUUAUAAAACAUUUCUUUGGAAGAUGUCAUUGAUGAAGAAACCAACACGUUAGGAAUAUCCCUUGAGGAAAUGGAAACCUCUUUAAAUGCUCAGGAGUCCGAUGAACCAUUGGCUGUUGUUAGUCCAGAGGAACCCACACAGCCACUUCAUACAUCAACACCAAAGAAACCCAUACAUACAAGUAAAACAGGAAAAGGCAGACCAGUUCGGAGGUUAUUAAAGCUUAAGAAAACAGGGGAAGUGCAACGUCUACAGCAAUGUAGGAGAUGAUGUUUUCAUAGCAAUGUUUCCC